rnacentral:rRNA from 1 species
GAUGAACGCUGGCGGCGUGCCUAAUACAUGCAAGUCGAACGAAACCACGUUAAGACCGCGCGCUUGCAGUUAGCGAUAGACAGGUGAGUGGCGAAUGGAUGAGCAACAUGUGGGCAACCUGCCCAAAAGAGGGGGAUAAGACGAUAAAACAGGAUCUAAUCCAGCAUAACAAUCGUUAGCGCAUGGUAACUUUGUAGACGGUGGCAGAACUACCCCUUUUGGAUGGGCCCGCGGCGCAUUAGCUAGCUGGUAGGGUAAAGGCUUACCAAGGCGAUGAUGCGUAGCCGAACUGAGAGGAUGAUCGGCCACACUGGAACUGAGACACGGCCCAGACUCCUACGGGAGGCAGCAGUAGGGAAUCUUCCACAAUGGGCGAAAGCCUGAUGGAGCAACGCCGCGUGGGUGAAGAAGGUCUUCGGAUCGUAAAACCCUGUUGUUAGGGAAGAAAGUGCGUGUGAGUAACUAUUCACGUUUUGACGGUACCUAACCAGAAAGCCACGGCUAACUACGUG